GACGAACGCUGGCGGCGUGCUUAACACAUGCAAGUCGAACGCUGAACCCGCUUCGGUGGGGGAUGAGUGGCGAACGGGUGAGUAACACGUGGGCAACCUGCCCCCGGCUCUGGGAUAACUCCAAGAAAUUGGGGCUAAUACCGGAUGUGACCGCUGGCCGCAUGGUCUGGUGGUGGAAAGGGUUUCCGGCUGGGGAUGGGCCCGCGGCCUAUCAACUUGUUGGUGGGGUAGUGGCCUACCAAGGCGACGACGGGUAGCCGGCCUGAGAGGGUGACCGGCCACACUGGGACUGAGACACGGCCCAGACUCCUACGGGAGGCAGCAGUGGGGAAUAUUGCGCAAUGGGCGGAAGCCUGACGCAGCGACGCCGCGUGGGGGAUGACGGCCUUCGGGUUGUAAACCUCUUUCAGCAGGGACGAAGCGCAAGUGACGGUACCUGCAGAAGAAGCACCGGCCAACUACGUG
rnacentral:rRNA from 1 species